GUCUGAAAGAACCAAUGACAGAACUGGCUCAGGGACCGAGCAUGGGGUGAAGCAGAAGAUCUGAGUAACCCAUAUCCUGGCCCACCAGCCCCAGAAUUAUUGAGUAUUUGAUUGUUUAAACCAAAAAGACGGCUGCAGAAACUUUCUUGGGCUAACACAAGUAAGAAUUUUUAAACCCAUUUAGAGUCAAGCGUGUGGUUAAGGCAGCAUAAACGCGUUGUGUGCUUCUUGGCGGUUCCUUCCUGGUUUCAUUUCUUUUUUCCUCUCCAUGUCCAACUUCCUUUUGAAGUCUUGAAUCGGCUGAGGGCUGAAGGAAGCCCCAAGGGGGAAGCACAAUGAGUCUAGCACUAGACAAAGUGGUCCCCGAAGAGGAGAGGGAAGGACGAAAGACCAGGCCUCAAAUGAAGUGCAUCCACCUUGGAUCAGGAGGCAGCGGGAGGCGGACAUGGGAGUUCCCAGGGAGCUACCCAGAGAGGGGCCGUCCAGCUCCCACAUGGGCACGUCAUCUGUCCCGGCCCAAACCUUCCUCCAAGUACAUCUGCAGCCCCUCAAAAUCACUUUCUCAAGAAGGAAAUGCUCGUCAGGGACGGGAAUAGCAUGUCUUUGCUGGUGCUGAGACGAUGAUCAGCUUGGCAUCAGAAAUCUGCAGAGAGGGGAAGGGAAUGGGGUUUAAAUUAUUUACACCAGACCUUCUCUUUUAGCAAAGACUGCAUGAGAGAGACAGAUAAUUCAGGCCAUCUGGACCCGAGGCCGAUGACCAGGACAGAUGCCACCUAGAUCAAAAGAGGAAGAUAUUUUUAGAGUUUUGAAUGUGGGCUCUGAAAACUUUUAUAUCUUAAGCCAAAUGAACAUCAUGAUGGAUGGUUCAGACUUAACUGGGUCUUUAUCAGGGGAUGGAUUAAAAAGUAAGAAGUCCUAGAAACUAAUUUCUGAAAAUGAGGGGAGCCAGAAUUGCAACACUUCCAUCAAAUAUGCCGAGGCUUGGUCAGCCAGGGCAAUGGGGUCCAGGAUCAAAGAUAAUAUCUGGGCUCAGGCUGAAAAGCUGGUUUUCAUGGAGCUUGCCCAGCUUGCUCUGGGGCCUCAGCCACCCAGCCCCACGGUGGGCCUUGCCUCGUCUGUUAGGUGGUAUUUUCAUCUUUGGUCAGAUGACAGCCCCCAUGCUCCAAAAAUUCUCCUGCAGCCAGGGCUUGGAGAAUCCCGACCCCUCUCUGGCAUGAACCUCUCCUCAUCCAGGGUGGCUUGUGUGGUAGAGCCAGGGGAAUGGAGAAGAUGACCUCUGAAGCCUGAAGGCUCUUUGGGAAGCAGGACACAAACAUCCUGAAGAGCCAGCCUUGAGCUGGCUGCACAAGAGACUCAUAGACUUUGCGUCAACAUCCACCUCUCCAGGCUGCAGUGGGUGUACCUGUUCACCACCACCUCCAGCAGCACUGUCGCAGCGGAGCAGUUCUUACAGCCAAUGAGCUUCCACACCACCUCCCUGCAGUUCUCUGCAACCGAGGCUCCAUCCUGCACUGAUGGGCUGCCUGACACGUCGGCCUCAACAAGCAUUUCCAGCACAUUCUCAGCUUUCCUGCUCUGCUGGGCAAAACACAGGGUGAGAAGGGGAGAGGAAGAACGGGACUGUGGCCCAGUUCUAGGCUUGGAGUCUAGCGAGGAACACCAGGUGCCUGCAUUAAAAGGAUGGUUGGAGAGACAAAAGAGGAAAAUGAAUGCUUCCACGAAGCUCCCUCUUUGUGGCAGAAUCAGUCCAAUGGAGAAAUUCUGAAAUUCCAGUUUUACAAAGUUCUUCAAACUUACCUCAAGGAUGGCACCAGCUGAAGCUCAGUUGCCCUGUCUCUUAUGCACCAGUGCAUCUGCCCCAGAAACUCUUAUCUGGGGCUCAGUUUGCCCCCAUGUGGUAUAAGUCCCUCCAAAGAUUCCAUUUCUAGUUACUCGUCUCAAUGUCACAAUGAGAAAUAUUUCUGCAUAUUUCCUGCAAAGCGUCUCAUUAAAGAAAGUAUUGGUUUGAUUCAGAAAAUGCUAUGCUGUUCCAGCUUCACUUUGGAUCUAUAGUUUUAGAAAGUAUCCAACUCUGCUUCUAGUUUAAGCUGCCCUGUUAAAGAGUUAAUGGAAAAAACCCCACUAUGGUAUGAGGAAGGGGUGGGAAUUAACGUUUGGGUCCCAUUCUGUGCCUAAAACACUGGUUCCCUCUAUGUUUUGAGCCUGAAAUUGAGUCGUUCUUAUGGAAGGCAGAUGCUAGAGGAGCUUUCUUUGGGAUUCUCAUUACCCGUUUCCAUCAGACCAGGCCAUUAGAUGGUUGCUUCUAGAAGGAUGGUGCAGCCCUGAGUCUGCAGGGGGCAGACCGGUCACAAAAACCAGAGUGGAGCUGGGGGUCAGACUGGAGUUCAUUGGGUAGGUUCAGUUCACACCCUGGUGCACAGGGUCCACGAAGGCACAACAAGGCACAGGUGAGAGCCAGGAGGGCAAGCAGGGAUCCAAGUGUACACAGCCCAGGGAGCAAGACAAGCAGAGAGGCCUGGAGCCAGAAGGAGGCUCGGAAACAACGAUGCCAGCAGUGAGCUCACGGGUCAGAAGCUUCUGGCCCAAGGCUUUAUGGAGGCCAUGCCUGAGCUGAAUAUUGGUGGCUGAGCAGCCAAUAAACGGAACACAGAUGGGGCCAGGGCAGGGAAUUCCAGGCAGGAGGAACAGCCAGAGAGCAAAGGCAGGGAGGCUGGAAGCUUUGCUGUGUGAGGAUCUGUGUACACACAGGGAAUGCUUCACAGGCUGUAGAGACAGUGACUAGCUUCUGAGAUCAGAGUAGGCUGGGCUGAGUAAUGGGAAGGGUGGAGGGGGCAGAGACCCACAUUACAGCCCGUGGCCCUGAACCCAGGACAAGCCACGGGGGUGGAGGAGCAGGCAGGAGAUGCUCCACCACUGCUGGCAAGGAGCAGGGCAGCCUGCCCAAGGGGGUACUGCCUGGAGCAUCACUGACUUACCCCAUCUGCUGGCGAGGAUACAGAAGCUCAGCCCACAGGGCCACCAUGGAUGGCCCUAAAGGUUGUGUCCUAUGCAAGGGGACCACAGAAGGCUGGUGCCCUGGACAGUUGGCAAGAGGCUGAGCGCAGGGCAGUGAGGGAUGCUCGUGUGCCUGGGGAAAGCUUCCCUGGGCUUCCCUUUUUUUUCUCCAUCUUCACCCUCUCACCCCUCACCCCUCCUGACACCCUGUCCCUUGGGGGAGCACCUAACACCCCUGUGUCCACCUGAACCACACCAGCCCUAACGUGCUGAAUCCCCGCUAAAUGAGCCCAGUGCUCAUCCAUCCAUCCGCGCAUCCGUUGUUCAGUGGGGAAAGUAGCACGUAGCAGGUCCGAGCACAGGCUCUGCAGCCAGAAUUCCUGGGUUCCAUGCCUCACCCAGCCACGUAUUUGCUGUGUGACCUCAGGCAAGCUACUUAGCUUCUCCACGCACGUGUGCUCAUCUAGAAAACGAGGCUGAUGCUCGUGCCCACGUGGCAAUGUGAUGAGUAAUGCUAGUACUCAUCUCUGAGGGUGGAUGGGAGAGACACGCAAAGUGUUUGCAAGGGGGCCGGCACCUGGGAGCACUCAUACAUGUUGGCUGUCACUGUCAUGGAGCACCACCGUGUGCCGGGCUCUGCUUGGUGCUCCUGGGCUGCUCACAUGAGCAAGGUGCUGACUCUGCCAAGGAAGGGUGCUUUUUUUUUCUUUUGGAGAAAGAAAAGGGAUGCUUUCUGCUGCUCCCGCCCUGAAAACACUGCGUGCCCCUCUGCUCUUCUCCUACUAGGCUUGAGAAGCAAGACCAGCACACCCUGAGUUGGGGUGUUGCCUCCUAAGCCACUGGCCAGCAAUUCUGGGGGGGGGGGUGGGGACGCUGAAGAGAAUGCGGGGCUCUGCUGGUGCAGCAUGGACCCUCCUUGGUCUGGUGAGCUGGGAGAAGCAGGACAGCAUGGGGUCCAGUGAUACUAACCGUGUGGAAAUAGAACUCCUCCAGAUUACAGGGCACCUGAGAAUUUCUUACUGACUUUUGUUUAAUAAUUCAAAAACACAUCAAAUCAAACUUAAUCAAGGCAAAAGCUGUCUCUGGAGCCUUCUUCGUGCUUCCUGGAGUCAAGCUCUUACAGAAUCACGGCAGCACCCCCCUCCCUAGCUCACGAAGGAAGCUGGAGGACUCCACAGCUGCUUCAGGAAACAGACUGUCCCCAGGGAACCCUUCAGAGAUCUUGGGACCAGACAGGAUGUACCUGGACUCCUGGAAUUCCCUCUCCAGCCUCCAGGUCCCGUGAGGAUGUGAGCUGGAGCAGUACGGGCUUCCCUGAUCCUUCCUGUGUCCAGGUGAGCAGCCUCCUGCCACAGAGCUGCCCUCCCAGGCAGGCACAGCGCACAAGGCCGUGCAUGCUUCUGUCCGUGUUCCGUUCCUGGCUCCUCGGAUCUUCCAUUUGUGCCUCCCGUAGUGUAUAGGGGCACAUAAACAAAUCAAGUCCCAGCGUCAGCUGUCAAUGUGUGGCCCAGGGUUUCUCAACCUCGGCGCUACCGACAUUUGGGGCCUGAUGAUUCUUUGCCGCAGGGGACUGCCCCAUGCGCUGUAGGGCGCUCAGCAGCAUCCCUGGUCUCUACCCACUGGUAAUACUCCUUCCCCAGCUAAUGACAACAGCAAAAGUCUCCAGACAUUGCCAAAUGUCCCCUGAGGGCCAAAUCCAGCCAGGUUGAGAAGCACUGGUAUAAAUUUAACUAAGGUAAUUGUUCUAUGGUACUCUCGGAAGUACCAGAAAAAGAUGAAACUACUGCCCUCAGUGUGGGGCUGGCACGCUCCCACGGGUUCCUGCUGCCUCCCAGGUGUGCUUUGUAAGACAGCGCACGCCCACACCUUAAUCAGGGGAUGUUCACCAAGCAUGCCUCUACACUGAGCAUGCACCAGGCACCGUGGAGGAGUGUGCUGGUCCCCAUGCCCAGAAGCUCACAGUCAUUCUGGGGGGACAGUGGUAACACCUGAAACAAAAGCAACUGAUACAGGGCAGUGGGGGAAGUUGUGCCGUUCAUCCAGUGGAGACCUACACCCAGGAAUCAUGCAGCAGGCAUGCGGAGGGACACGGAGGCGGAGCCCCGCCUAGCUGAGGAGAGAAGGGGCAAAGCAGAAAGUGCUGGUGUCAGGAGACAGCAGAUGACACGCUGCAGGCAUUGGAGGGCAGGGAGUAGCCAUCGCUGCUACCUGGCAUGGCUUAGUGGAGCCAUGACUGAGCUGAGCUGGGUAUUGAAGGACAAGGAGGCACCGGCUUUCCAGGCAGUUGGGGACGGAGAGAGCAAAGGCCUGAAGGCUAGAUGCCUGGCCUGCAUGAAAGGAGCUUCAUAAAGCAACACGAGGGAUGUUUCUCCGCUUUGCAGACAGCCAACAUGUGCCGCGGGAGCCCUGAGAUGAUUCCGAUGCACGGAGGGAGCCGGGAAACGCUGGUAUUUCUGCCUGUCACUUAUUAUCUGGUUGAGCUGGUGGCGGGAGUCCCGGCCCAUGUGUGUUACCAGAGGGAUGGUCUAGAGAAUGAAUCCAUCUGUCAGAGGCAUCCAAGAAGAAAGGCCUGGGCCAGGAUCACAUGGAAGACCCUGAAGACAGGAUCGGGUCUUGCCUGCCUGGAUUGAACAGAGACGCAGUGACCAGUCCCAUCUGCUCCCACCCUGCUGCCCUCUGAAUCGAGAGUUUGAGGCCAUGACCAGGGUAACGUUCAGCUGGUAGAGACAACACAACCCUGCUGGCUGUUUAAGCCAUGCUGGAGUGGUGCUCACAGGGUAACAAUUUUCAAGUGCUACGGAUGCAAUAGCUCAGCGACUGGCAGCGCAGCACGUACCUGCUGUCGUGGGAGGUGAGAGCCACCAGUGCCCGACAGCGGCUGCAAGGCAGUGGUGGCGCUCUGCAGCCAGCCGGCCCACCCCUCCAACAUCUGCAAGGGGGUGGGAGGCUGCCUCACCAAGCUACCUGCUACUCAUGGGGGCGAUGGGCAUCAGGGUGGCCUGCCUGGAGCCCCGAGAGCACAUAGAAGCUGCCAGAUGAGGGCAGUGAGGCCGAGGGCCGGCAGUAGGGCUGCAGAUGCCCUGAGCCCUAAGGUCAAGGUGGAUGGAACUGCUGUGUAAGUCUGAUGCCGAGGAGACCAGGUCGUUGGGCUUUCAGCCCUGCGGCCGCCAAGUCUCAGGUUAGAGCUCCCUCUCGCGGCCGAUGCUGGGCACUACAUUGCCCAAGACCCAGGUGGGCCGAAGUCUUGAGAAAGGGCUCGCAGUCAUCGUCGCCAGCAGGCAGACACCAGGCACCUACCUCCCCGACAUACCCAGCCUGGUACCUCGAAGACCAGUAGCCUUGAGCUACACUUGGGAUUCCCAAUACAGUUUCAAAACCGUCUAGCUCAUCUUUCAGGAACCUUCCAGGGUUCACAUUCUGAUUUUUCAGUAAGGUUCUCACCUCUGUGACCAAUUACCUUGAGACUGAUGUCCUGCACCAUCCUGGAGUGUUGGGAUCUGCAGGUCGUGAAAAGGGAAACCAAGCAAUCACUUUGGAAUGACUUCCUGGAACUUCCCUGGCCCCUCCUUCGUGUUCUCUGAUGACAGCCAGGAGCUGACUCAGAAACCUCAUAAGAAGCUGAAGGCAUGACGACUUCCCUGUUAAAAAAAAAAUGUCCCACGUGUGGCCGAGUGCCACACCCAGGCAGCUGCCGAAAAAAAGCACCAGACACCAUGCAGCUGGGCCCCAGGGCCCGGCCCAACCCGGUUGGCCUUCUCCGGCACCUGCAGGGAACUUGUCCUGUCUUGUCUCUGCUCGCCCCCUGCUGGCUGCCUGGAGCCAUUCCGUGCUGGUUUCUUCGCGUCUUCUGUCAGGAGAGAGAUGCUGAUGCUUACUCAGGGAUCCGGCGGCUGUGACCCUGAGGCCCCGAGGUGGAUUAACAGAGCCCUCAGCACCGAGUCUCCAAGCUGAAGGCAGUGGUCACACUCCCUGCUGCCCUCCAGGUUUGGAGGGAUGGAGAGGAGAGAGGAGGGGAAGAAGCUACCUUCUUCACUAGCCUUGCUGAGAGACAAGUGGGUACGGCCCACAGGCACCUCCACCAGCCUGCCCUCUACAUCCAGAUUCGCAAG
rnacentral:lncRNA from 10 species